rnacentral:sRNA from 1 species
CUUUAAACCCGAUUGUAGCGAAAAUACUUUUACCCCUCAAGAGCUUGUGUGAAUUAAGGGGUAAAAGAUUGCAGCGUAAAGCGGGGCUGCUU